rnacentral:rRNA from 1 species
CACAUGCAAGUCGAGCGGUCGAGCAGAGGAGAUUGCUUCGGUAAUCUUGACCUAGCGGCGGACGGGUGAGUAAUACUUAGGAAUCUGCCUAUUAAUGGGGGACAACAUCUCGAAAGGGAUAGCUAAUACCGCAUACUGCCUCUACGGGGGAAAGCAGGGGAUCACUUGUGACCUUGCGUUAAUAAGAUGAGCCUAGAGUCGGAUUAGCUAGUUGGUGGGGUAAAGGCUCUACCAAGGCGACGAUCUGUAGCGGGUGCUGAGAGGAUGAUCCGCCACACUGGGACUGAGACACGGCCCAGACUCCUACGGGAGGCAGCAGUGGGGAAUAUUGGACAAUGGGGGAAACCCUGAUCCAGCCAUGCCGCGUGUGUGAAGAAGGCCUUAGGGUUGUAAAGGAUUGUAAAGCACUUUAAGCGAGGAGGAAGAGCUCUCUUGGUUAAUACCCAAGAUGAGUGGACGUUACUCGCAGAAUAAGCACCGGCUAACUCUGUGCCAGCAGCCGCGGUAAUACAGAGGGUGCAAGCGUUAAUCGGAUUUACUGGGCGUAAAGCGUGCGUAGGCGGCUUUGUUAAGUCGGAUGUGAAAUCCCCGAGCUUAACUUGGGAACUGCAUUCGAUACUGGCGAAGCUAGAGUAUGGGAGAGGAUGGUAGUAAGGCC